UAGGCAUGCAGUCGAGCGAGAGUCUUUUUGCUUGCAUUAAGACGGACAGCGGCGAAAGGGAGAGUAACGCGUAGAAAUGUACCCCAAGGUCUGGGAUAGCGGCGGGAAACUGCCGGUAAUACCGGAUAAUGUCUCCGGACCAAAGUUUUUCGCCUUGGGAGCAGUCUGCGUACUAUUAGGUAGUUGGUGGGGUAAUGGCCUACCAAGCCUCAGAUGGUUAGCGGGCGUGAGAGCGUGGCCCGUCUCACUGGGACUGAGACACUGCCCAGACAACUACGGUUGGCUGCAGUCGAGAAUCUUCCGCAAUGGGCGAAAGCCUGACGGAGCAAUGCCGCGUGGUGGAUGAAGGCCCUCGGGUUGUAAACACCUGUCAGUAGGAAGGAAAUUUUGACCGAUCUACAGAGGAAGUCCGGGCUAAGUACGUGCCAGCAGCCGCGGUAAUACGUACCGGACGAACGUUAUUCGGAAUCACUGGGCUUAAAGAGUACGUAGGCUGCCAUGAAGGUGAGAUGUGAAAUCCCACGGCCUAACCGUGGAACUGCAUUUCAAACCACAUGGCUUGAGGGAGACAGGGGUAAGCGGAACUGAUGGUGGAGCGGUGAAAUGCGUUGAUAUCAUCAGGAACACCGGUGGCGAAGGCGGCUUACUGGGUCUUUUCUGACGCUGAGGUACGAAAGCUAGGGUAGCGAACGGGAUUAGAUACCCCGGUAGUCCUAGCUGUAAACGAUGAGCACUAGUUCGAGGGGACUUCCACAU
rnacentral:rRNA from 1 species